rnacentral:lncRNA from 1 species
AAAAACUGUCCUAAAAUUCAUUUGUGAGAAUAAGAGACAUAGAAUAGAUUGAGCAAUUCUGAGGAAGAAAUGUGAUACAUGAGACAUGACAAUACCUGAUCUCAAAUUAUACUAUAGACCUACAGUAAAAACAAACAGUCUAGUACUGACAUGAAAGUAGAAACGAAGACCAGUGGAAUAAAAUAUUCAACACAGAGACCAACUCACAUACAUACAGCCAUCUGACACUUGACAAAGGUGCCAAAAAAUAUAUGCUGGAGAAAAGACAGCCUUUUAAACAAUGAUGCUAGAAAAACUGCAUAUCCAUAUGUAGAAGAAUGAAACCAGAUCCCUAUCUCUCACCCUGCCCAAAAGUCAAAUCAAAAGGGAUCAAUCACUUAGGAAUUAGACUAUAAAUUUUGUAACUGCUAGAAGAAUACCUAAGGUCAACAUUCCAUUAUAUUGGUGCAGGCACUCUCAAAACUCAAGAAAUAAAACCAAGAAUUAAUAAGUUGGAUGCCAUCAAAUUAAAAACUUCUGCACAGCAAAGAAAAUGAUUAAGACCAUAAGGAGAGAGUCAACAGAAUGGAAGAAAAUCUUUGCCAGAUGCUUCUCUGACAGGGUAUUAAUAUCCAGAAUAUAUAAGGAACUCCAAAAACUUAACACCAAAAAAAAAAAUCAGUAAAUGGACAAAAGAACUAAAUAAAUCUUUCUCAAAAGAAGAAACACAAAUGACCAACAAAUAAAUAAGAAAUAUUCAACAUCUCUAGCAAUCAGGUAAAUACCUAUCAAAACCACACUAAGAUUUCAUGUCACUGUGGUGAAUGACAAUGAUCAACUAGGAAUAGUAACAAUAAAUGCUGGCAAAGAUGUGGGACAAAAGGUUUGCUCAUACAUUGUUGGUGUGACUGCAAAUUAGUGCAAUCGUUCAGUAAAGCAGUAUGAAGAUUCCACAAAAAUGUAGGAAUAGAACCAUCAUAGGUUCUGCAAUUUUUGGUGUGUGUGUGUGUGUGUAUUCUCACUGUGUGGGUAGAUUUGAAAAAUAUAUACUGUUUCUAUUGAUUGUAGUGGUAAUAUUUGUACAAUAGAAAUCAGCAAAUAUGUACUACAAACUGGGGCCUUUUGUAUUUGGGGAGGAGUGGUGGGUUCUGGCCAGCAUUUUUUUUACUCAUUCACCAACAUACCACUGGACAUUGAACUGAGGCAUUGCUGGAGAUCUUAUUUCUUUCCUUUUCUCCUUGAAGUCUGAGUUUCCAAGGAAUUUCAUACAAUUUUAGCAAUAGGUGAGUAAAAGAACACAUGAACAUGCUGUAAGCUCUUGUCUUCUUUUGCCCCUCUGGUUUCAGGCUAAAGGAGAUCCAAAUGAGUGAAUAUGAUGCUGCAACCUAUGAAAGAUUUUCAGGUGCUGUUCGGCGACAGGUGCAGUCCCUCUGAAUCAUCUUGGAUAAUUUACAGGUAAUCUUCCAUUUGUGGAUCAAGAAAUAACUUGGG